GUCGAGCGAACGGACGAGAAGCUUGCUUCUCUGAUGUUAGCGGCGGACGGGUGAGUAACACGUGGAUAACCUACCUAUAAGACUGGGAUAACUUCGGGAAACCGGAGCUAAUACCGGAUAAUAUUUUGAACCGCAUGGUUCAAAAGUGAAAGACGGUCUUGCUGUCACUUAUAGAUGGAUCCGCGCUGCAUUAGCUAGUUGGUAAGGUAACGGCUUACCAAGGCAACGAUGCAUAGCCGACCUGAGAGGGUGAUCGGCCACACUGGAACUGAGACACGGUCCAGACUCCUACGGGAGGCAGCAGUAGGGAAUCUUCCGCAAUGGGCGAAAGCCUGACGGAGCAACGCCGCGUGAGUGAUGAAGGUCUUCGGAUCGUAAAACUCUGUUAUUAGGGAAGAACAUAUGUGUAAGUAACUGUGCACAUCUUGACGGUACCUAAUCAGAAAGCCACGGCUAACUACGUGCCAGCAGCCGCGGUAAUACGUAGGUGGCAAGCGUUAUCCGGAAUUAUUGGGCGUAAAGCGCGCGUAGGCGGUUUUUUAAGUCUGAUGUGAAAGCCCACGGCUCAACCGUGGAGGGUCAUUGGAAACUGGAAAACUUGAGUGUAGAAGAGGAAAGUGGAAUUCCAUGUGUAGCGGUGAAAUGCGCAGAGAUAUGGAGGAACACCAGUGGCGAAGGCGACUUUCUGGUCUGUAACUGACGCUGAUGUGCGAA
rnacentral:rRNA from 1 species